GACACUUUCCAAACAACAAGGGUGCACGCACUAGAAAAAUCAUACGCCAAUCCUUUCUUGUUCAUUUAUAUCUGAGGUUUUAAAAACACUAAGACCAUUGAUGCUGAGCCAGACCCGAAACAUACUACAGGCUCAAGAUCCUGCCUUUCAACACUUCAUAGUCAUUGCAGAAAAUCUUGAAAAAUAAUUUACUGCAUGCUUACAUUACUUGGAGUGCUGCAAAAGCCAGGACCCACAGAAUCGGGGCAGAGGGGGGAAGCACCCUAUUUUUAAUAAGGGAUCUUAACAUUUUUGACAUGCAUGAGAUUUGUGUCAAGCUUUUGUCUUGUUUAGUAAGGGGGUUUGUUUGAUAUUUACUCAACUGGCUUUUCCUUUUCAUGACUUCUAAAUAGCAUACUUUAAAAAAAGUGUAAUUGCAAAGGCUGGUCUACAUGCGUAGGAUUACUUCAUGAACAGGAAGAAAAAUCCACUGGAUGGCCUCACAUACUUAGAAAUAGCUGGGCCAAACACUACUUCACUGUUUUGAAAUAUCUCACUGCAGAGGAUAAUUUGAACUUUAAAGUCACAUGAUGAAACCAUAGGUUUGCUAAACAUGCAACGUGUAUGGCUUGAAUCACUUAAACUGAGUUCCUGUUUCCUUUGCUGAACUGAAUGUUUUUCUAGUCAGAGAGCGUCUGGAUUUUUCAUCCCGGUGUACAGCAGCUAAAGAAGUGAUUGUAAUAUAAACUCUGCUUUCUGCAUAAAUAAAAAAGGGCUGUUUCCUCCAAACAGUAAUUAUAUUUCAUCUGACUAUUCACAGUGAAAGCCUCAGCCAGUCAUACCUGUGGAGCAUUUUCUUGAAGAGGUUUCAGUUUCAAACUUCAUAAAACAGGAAAUAAACACUGCACAGAAGAAAGGAUGAUUUCUCACAACAUGACAUGGAUCAGCUACCCAAGCAAGAACUGGGUUUUCAGCUCCCCAGAAGAAAUUGAAGCAUUCAUAGCAUCUCAAAACAUCAUAUCAAGACUUAUGCACUGUUACAUUGCCUUUUUUGUACCAACAGGAUUAAUAGCUGGCAUAUGUAUUUUGAUCAUUUUUAUAAAAAAUUAUUUGCAGUUGAAAGCCAUAGAAAACUUACUUCUACAUUUCACCAUCAGCAAUAUUAUAAUGAUUUUUUUUUCGUUCACUGUCAUUCCUAGACCUGACUAUUUAAAAGCAACCUACUUCACAUGUAAAAUUCUGUCAUUUUUUUUCAACUUAAGUUAUUUCAAUUCUCAGCAUCUUUUGAUUUUGAUGCUUCUCAUAAUUUUACUCGAGAAAUUUCCACCAAGGAGUGCUCUGAGCAAAGCAACCCAAAGUCCCAUAUUGUGUGUUGGAUUUGUACUUAUAUAUGCCUUCUGUUUGUCACUAACUGAAACAGUACUGCUUGGCACAGAUAACUCUCACUUGGAAACCUAUUGCCAGUUAGAUCCUUUAUUUGCGUGGCCUGAGUAUGAGAUCAUUAAACUCACCUUUGGAUUUGGAAUCCCAUCAUUUCUUCAGAUAGUCUGUUUUACUGUGCUUUUUGCUAAAGAAGCAUCUGCUGAAGCUCCAGCCUUACAACUGCGUAUUCGUACUUACCUGGCUGUGGUACCUAUAAGCAUAACCAUAUUUAUAUGCCGCCUAUUUUACAGUGUUAUGAUUCUCUUCAGGACAACAUUCAAAUUACAGAAAAGCAUUGGAACUCCAAAGAACGAGCUCACGAUGAAUAUUGCAGAAAUAGUGUUGUUCUGUGAGAGCUGUGCUAGUUUGGUAUUUGUACUUUGUUUUCAUAAACCAUGCAAAGAUGAAAUACUGAAAGUCAUACAGAAAUGCAAAAAGGAAAAUACCACCAACAAUCAUCUCGAAAUACCAGUAACUUCUAUGAACCAUGAAAGUGGGUCUCAGUAAUACUUGUUUUUAAAGAACUGUCAUUUUUUCACCUGCUCUUUUUCAUAAAGGAUAAUGGCUCCUUGUUUAGAUCCCAAACUUGGACUACCUUACAGUAGUGGAAGAAAAAAUAUAUUUGGGUCUAGUAUUUGCGGUGAUCUAUGAGAAAACAUCUAGGCUUUUCGGUCUUUUUUUCCCCCUCAGUAUCUUUUAAAAAACUCCCUACAUUCUACAAGUGUUACUUCUAAGCAGAGCAGAAAUAAGAGCAUGUUACCAUAGAAGUAUGCUUUUGUAAUAAUACCAAUGCACUGGCAAAGAUGCAAACAAAAACACAGCAGAAAGCAACUUUAAACUAAGGUAAAAAUCUGCAGCAAAAGCAUUUUCUCAGCUGUGCUUUCUCUUUUGACUGGAAUUUCUUCCCCUACACAAUACUCGUAUUUUCUAUAAUCUUGGUUAAAGGCAGUAGCAACAGCAGUGAAGUAUGGCUUAAGAGUCCACUAUAAUCCUGAAAUUAUACUGCAAUGCUAUAAGUCUGCUGAACUGCUUUUAUAUAUAUAUUUAUAUAUAAACUUACAUAUAAGAAUAAAGUAUAUAUAUUUUAUAUAUAUAUUUGUAUAUAAUGAAUAAAAAACUUAGCAUUCUUUCUCUUUCUCCAUUUUCCUUUUCUACUUUUGUUGGAACCAUUAAGGUUUUAAGGUUCUUGCCUGAAUUCUUGCAGCCAAAAAAAAAAAAAAAGAAAGAAAGAAAGAAAAACCUCAAAUUAAUGGAAACUCUGGUCCAUAAAGGAAAGUUCUGAUGCCCUUCUGGCACUGAACUGGAAAGAUCAACAAGAUAGCUAAUUAAAACUUUUGUGCAAGGAUGAAGGCUUUUUGUUAGACUUCUCUUGGCUUCAACUUUACUUUAAGACUUAAAGCAAUUAUUGAUUUAAGUCAUCCUCAAUAGGUUCAUCCAAAAGUAUGAAGUACCUAGGAAGAAUCAUAUUGGAUAAUAUCCUAAAGAAAAAACAAGAUAAGCCAGGCUCAGGAGAGUAUAACUGAGUCUUGCUUUUAAAAAACACAAAUAAAGCAGAGCCCCAAUUUCUGAUUAAAGUCAAGGCUCUCCUAGAAACAAGAUAGGGAACAUUAUACAUGCGGACAAGCAUUCACAGGUGAAUGGUGCAAAGUAGAAGAAAAAACCCAACAAUCCAAAAUGAUGCAUAAAACUGCAGUUGUGAUAUAAAAGUUCAGGUGUAGCCCUCUAGAAUCAAUAGCUAAUACAGGCUGAGAUAUAGAUGCAAAGUUUUAGAUGCUUGCUCUGAGCACAUUCUUACUGUUACUAAAUUUGGGCACAAGCCAACUUUUCCUGUCUCUUUGGGGGCUGGGCUGGGGGGAGAGGAGAACGGAAACAGGGAAGACAAAAGAAUCAUACUAAAUCUUGGAUAAAGAUGUAGACUUGGAUGACAAAGUUAUAAAAAAUAUACUGAUGUGAUGAGAAAGGCUCAGAAACAACCUGAAGGUUUUUGAGAAGAACUGCUUUGAUGCUUAAUCACAUACCUUUGCAUAGCACUUGCAAAGACAGGAAUUCACUGGCUGAAACAUGAUAUCAGGAUGCUAAAGGAACUGAUAUAUUUAAUUGCAACUGUAUCUUUGGAAAGCCUUCUUGACAGGGUCUAGAUUUGUAUGGAUAGCUGGUGCAAAUUAGCAUGGGCUGGCCAACUUACAGAGCACUGGGCACUGAUCGAUCGACAGGAACACCUUCUGCAAAACAACAGCCAAGUGGAUAAACGGAAGAAUAAAGGACAUUUCUCCAAUAAUAAUACAGUAUUUAUAUCUGGUAUUUAGACAUAUGGAUCUAGUCUCAGAUAUCUAAGUCCUGAAAUUUAUGGCACACGACUGUAUCACACGCAAGUAGAGUGCAAGAUGUAGUCUCAGUAACUAGGACCAUAAGGACCAAUGCUUCUGCAAGAUGUAAAAAUCAACUGGUACAAUGUCUGCAUUGCAUUAUGUCAGCCUGUUUUCCUGUUCAAUUUUGUUCUGCUGCCAGCAGGAACAGAUGGAUAAUUAAAGAAAGCUACAUAAAAACAGACCAUUAUAGAACCUGGUCAGAAAGGAAAUACGUAGAUAAGAAUCAUCUCUUCAAACACAAGAACCAGUUUUAUGGUUGUGAAAGGAUUUCUCAGCUCCAAAUUUGGCAUCAGAGCUAUUGUUUUGCACCUGAAAAGAGAUUAAAAGACAGACUGAAGAUCAGCUUGAUCCAGAAAGAAGCUUGAAGAGAUAAGUUGUAAGAGCAGCAUGUCAGUGAAAAAAGCUGACAGACUGAGUGAAAGAAUAUGGCAAAAGACCCAAGCUGUUUAUCCCAAUUUAGACAGAGAAUAACAUAGCUUCAGCUGCACCACAGAUAAAUAGGUUAUUUUUUAGUAUGGGAAUAUGCACAAAGGAUUCUACUUUAUUCAGUACUUCCAUAUGUUUUAUAUUUGAGGAUGAAAGAAUAAAUACUGUAUGGUUUCUGAGUCACCUUAAUCUGAGUUACUGUUAAAGGUGCCCAAAAGAAAAACCUACUCCAGAAAUAUAUUGGACCUAGUUAGAUAACCUUGGAUGGGACAUGGAAACCGGUCUAAUGGUGAGCAAAUCACAAUAAUGCACCAGUAGAGAAGCUGGAAGGUUUGAAACAGGUGGAAGCAUGCUUAAUGAUAUUCUCAGUAAGGGAUACAGCUAAACCAAAAUCAUAACCCGGUGUCUCACAGAAAUAAAACCUGAGGGGGCCUACUGUCAGAGCUAAGAUUUGGGAAUAGGAAGAUCUUAUCAAGAAUUAACCACUAUGUAUAAAUCUGUGAGUACUCCUGGGUAUAGCAUUUGGCUGUCAUCCAUGAAAUACAUAUGAAUGCACUCUGGUCUCUUCCCUGACCAGCACUAUUGUCACAGGAGAAAACAGAGUAUUUUCUGGAUGGCUGGUUGUAUGGUCACAAAGAAAUCUCUGUAUACAGCAAGAAGACUAUUUGGACUGAACAGGAGAAAACAAACAGGAGAGAGGAGGUUAAAAAAUGUGUAGCAAUCCUUUCACUUGUUAUGAAUAUAUCCUAUAGCAAUACAGAACUGUUUCAUUGAACAAUUCUUGAUAAAGUUACUCAAAGCUUCCAUUAAGAUUCAGGACAAUGAACACGUAGACCUGGAGAAGAUCUGCUUUGCUCCAAUUGGAAUAUGAGGGCAGAUAUCUCUAUGGGCAAUGGGAAAGGAGCAGAAGUAGUCCCAAAAGACAUCCUAAAAAAGUCAAAUUUGAAGGAGAAGAAAAGAGCAGCUAUGGCCAAGAUUAAAAGUAAUCAUUUUAAAGUGAUUAAUAACUUGGAGUGCAUUCCCUAGGAACAAAAUAAAAUUUGCCUACUCAGAGAGGGUUUGUUUUUUUUUUUUUAACCAGCAAUAACUUUGUUAAAAACUAUUUCUUCCACGCUUUACCUAGUUUUUGAAUAGUAUGUUCCAGAAGAAAUAGAGCAUAUAUUUUUAUAGGCAUGCUGUCAAAAUGAACUAAUGGGAUAUACUGGAAAAUUCAAAGAAGGAUGUUUAUUUCUAUGCUGGUAUUAUUCAUAUUUUUCUAAGACUUCUGCUUGCUUUGGGAAAAAACCUUCUGUUCAGAAAAAUAAGAGGGAUGGACAGGCUGCUGAUAUUUAAGCCUGAAUUUCUGAGUUGAUACAUUUUCGAAAAGUUGGAAAAAUGUAGAAACUAAGGACCCCUCUUUACUCAACCAGUUGGCUCAAAUUUGAUCUGAUCCCACUGCAAAACAACAUCUGAGCUAAAAAGAGACUGGAUUUACGCAGUUGGACUGUAACUUGAGCUACUGCUCUCCCUUCUGCAGUACAAAAUCUAACCUCAGUAGCAUUCUAAUUUCAAACUAACAGACCCUAAACAGGUUGCAGCAUUAUUUAACUUGGUUUUGAGGCAGAAGAUCUGAUGUAGGGCAAAAGCUCAAACAAUUCAGCUAAAACAAGUCCUCUCUACAUAACAUUUACAUCAUGUAUGUUCCACAACAAAUUGAUUCACUGACUGGAGUGAAAGAAUAUGUUUUGCUUCCCUGGCACUUUGAUUCUUAUCCGCUCAACCCGGACAAUUAGUGACAGCAACAUUGAUGCUUUUACCUGUGAAACUAAAGAGGUGAAUGAAGUGCCCAGCAAAGGACUGCUGGACUCAGCUACGAUGGUGAAAAAGGAUUGCUGCUUUGUGAUUUUUUUUUUAAUCACAUUUGGAUAGAGAGAGAAACCCUAUGACUAAUCAUCCUUCACUUUACCAUGCUUUGUCAUCCAAUUUUGUACGACUUGGAUAUUCUCCUUCAGGUAUAUUGCAACAUACUUCUUAAGAAAAAUAAAGUUUUUACCAGAAUA